rfam:Schistosoma curassoni strain Dakar, Senegal genome assembly, scaffold: SCTD_scaffold0006428
CUAUAACUGACGAGUCCUAGGUAGGACGAAACGCGCGUUCUGGAU